rnacentral:rRNA from 1 species
AUGCAAGUCGAGGGGCAGCACGGUGUAGCAAUACACUGGUGGCGACCGGCGCACGGGUGAGUAACACGUGUGCAACCAACCCCGUACCGGGAGAUAACCCGCGGAAACGUGGACUAACAUCCCAUGAUACUCGAGAGCCGCAUGGCUCUAGAUUUAAAAUUCCGGUGGUACGGGACGGGCACGCGCGACAUUAGGUAGUUGGCGGGGUAAGGGCCCACCAAGCCGACGAUGUCUAGGGGUUCUGAGAGGAAGGUCCCCACACUGGAACUGAGACACGGUCCAGACUCC